GAUCAAAAAUUGAAGGCGGGCGGGCUGUCCCCCGCUUACAGUCUUGCUGAAUUAUUCUUCUUGUCCUUUGCGUGGCCCCUGUUUCCUUGGUGGAUUCGCCCCUAGGGCCACAAACCUACCCCUUUUGUAAUUGCAAUCGAUGACUAUAGCCUGUUAAUAAUUACAACUUUCAACAACGGAUCUCUUGGUUCUGGCAUCUAUGACCAACGUCGCUAAAUGCUAUAAGUAAUGGGAAUUGCAAAAGUCAGUGAAUCAUCGAAUCUUUGAACGCACAUUGCGCCCUUUGGUAUUCCAAAGGGCAUGCCUGUUCGAGCGUCAUUUGUACCCUCAAGCUUUGCUUGGUGUUGGGCGUCUUGUCUCUAGCUUUGCUGGAGACUCGCCUUAAAGUAAUUGGCAGCCGGACUACUGGUUUCGGAGCGCAGCACAGGUCGCACUCUCUAUCAUCAAAGGUCUAGCAUCCAUUAAGCCUUUUUUUUCAACUUUUGACCUCGGAUCAUGUAGGGAUACCCGCUGAACUUAAGCAUAUCAAUAAGCGGAGGAAUUGAAG
rnacentral:rRNA from 1 species